AGUGAACGCUGGCGGUAGGCCUAACACAUGCAAGUCGAACGGCAGCACAGAGGAGCUUGCUCCUUGGGUGGCGAGUGGCGGACGGGUGAGGAAUACAUCGGAAUCUACUCUGUCGUGGGGGAUAACGUAGGGAAACUUACGCUAAUACCACAUACGACCUACGGGUGAAAGCAGGGGACCUUCGGGCCUUGCGCGAUUGAAUGAGCCGAUGUCGGAUUAGCUAGUUGGCGGGGUAAAGGCCCACCAAGGCGACGAUCCGUAGCUGGUCUGAGAGGAUGAUCAGCCACACUGGAACUGAGACACGGUCCAGACUCCUACGGGAGGCAGCAGUGGGGAAUAUUGGACAAUGGGCGCAAGCCUGCUCCAGCCAUACCGCGUGGGUGAAGAAGGCCUUCGGGUUGUACAGCCCUUUUGUUGGGAAAGAAAUCCAGCUGGCUAAUACCCGGUUGGGAUGACGGUACCCAAAGAAUAAGCACCGGCUAACUUCGUGCCAGCAGCCGCAGUAA
rnacentral:rRNA from 1 species